AGUGAACGCUGGCGGUAGGCCUAACACAUGCAAGUCGAACGGAAGCACAGUAAGCGUUUGCUCUUAAGGGUGGCGAGUGGCGGACGGGUGAGGAAUACAUCGGCAUCUUCUUUUUCGUGGGGGAUAACGUAGGGCAACUUAUGAUAAUACCGCAUAUGAUCUACGGGAGAAAGCAGUGGAUCUUCAGAGCUUUCGCGAUUGUAUGAGACGAUGUCGGAUUAGCUAGUUGGCGGGGUAAAGGCCCACCAAGGCAACGCUCCGUAGCUGAUCUGAGAGGAUGAUCAGCCACACUGGAACUGAGACACGGUCCAGACUCCUACGGGAGGCAGCAGUGGGGAAUAUUGGGCAAUGGGCGCAAGCCUGAUCCAGCCAUACCGCGUGAGUGAAGAAGGCCUUCGGGUUGUAAAGCCCUGUUGUUGGGAAAGAAAAGCAGCAUGUUAAUACCCCGCUGUUCUGACGGUACCCAAAGAAUAAGCACCGGCUAACUUCGUG
rnacentral:rRNA from 1 species